AUGACUGGGCUUACUGGGUUGUCUCUCCAGAACAACUCACUUUCUGGACCCAUCCCUGAUCUUCACCUCCCUAAACUGAGGUAUUUGAAUUUGAGCUACAAUAACCUUAGUGGGCCCAUUCCAGCUGCUCUGCAGAAGUUUCCAGCCAAUUCUUUCUUGGGGAAUGCUUUUCUAUGCGGGCUUCCCCUGGAACCAUGUCCAGGAGCAACACUUUCUACUCCUUCUAAUGCAGCACCUCCCCCGAAUUCUAAAGAUGGUCCCAAGACCAUAGUCAUUGCAGCAGCUGUUGUAGGAGGGCUAUUAGUUAUUGUUGUCAUUGCGAUAAUCUUGGUACUAUGCUGCUUCAAGAGGAAGGGAGGUGGGGAUCCUGAGGAAGCAGAGAGGAACAAGCCAAGAGCUUCAUCAUCCAAAGGCAAAGGAAGAGCAGAAUACAGCAGUGGUAUCCAAGAAGCAGAGAGGAACAAGCUAGUUUUCUUUGAGAGCUGUUCUUAUGAUUUCGACUUGGAUGAUCUGUUGAGGGCUUCAGGUGAAGUCAUUGGAAAAGGAAGCUACGGUCCGACCUACAAAGCUGGUCUUGAGGAUGGCACGACAGUGGUGGUCAAGAGGCUGAAGGAGGUGGUGGCGGGAAAGAAGGAAUUCAAACAGCAAAUGGAGAUAAUCGACAGGCUUGGCCAGCACCAGGGUGUUGUUCCCUUGCGUGCUGUCUAUUACUCCAAGGACGAGAAGCUCUUGGUCUAUGACUAUGUUACACCGGGUAGCCUUUCAGCUGCUUUGCAUGGGAACAGAUCUGAUGGAAGAGCACCACUGGACUGGGAGACGAGAGUGAAGAUAUCGCUCGUCGCCGCACGAGCGAUCGCUCAUCUUCACACCGGAGCAGGCGGCAAGUUCAUCCACGGCAACAUCAAGUCGAGCAACGUCCUCCUCUCGCGGGAUCUCAGCGUGCACGUCUCCGACUUCGGCCUCUUGCAGCUCAUGGCCCCCCUUCAGUUCCACCCGCGGCUCGUCGGGUACCGCGCGCCGGAGGUCCGGCAGGCCAAGAAGCCGACCCAGAAGUCGGACGUGUACAGCUUCGGCGUGCUGCUACUGGAGAUGCUGACAGGGAAGGACCCCCUCUGGUCCCCCAGCCGCGACGGUUACGUUGGGCACCUCCCGAGGUGGGUGCUGGCCGUGGUCCGGGAGGAGUGGACCUCGGAGGUGUUCGCCGAGGACCUGCAGAGGCAGCCCAACACCGAGAACGAGAUGGUGCAGCUGCUCAAGGUGGCCAUGGCGUGCGUCACCAUUUACCCCGACCAGCGGCCGAGGAUGGAGGAGGUCGUGAGGAGGAUCGAGGAGAUCCGUAGCUCCGGCUCCAGCUCCGGCCCCGGGACGACGACGAGGACCUGCCCCGAGGACAAGCCAAGGGAGGAGCACAUCCAGAUCACCUGA
rnacentral:rRNA from 1 species